GUCUGGUCUGAGUGCAGUAGUGUUUACAUUAAUUGAUCACAGCCACUUACAGAUUUCUUUGUUCCUUCUCCACUUUCACUGCUUCUCUUGACAAGAAGAA
ensembl:Y_RNA Y_RNA Y RNA